rnacentral:lncRNA from 1 species
CCUCUCUUUAGUUUUCUCUAUGAUUUUCUCUCUCUAAUUUUUCUCUACUUUAUCUUUCUAAAAAAAUCUCUUUUUUUCUCUCUACAAGUUUUUCUCUCUAGAUGUCUUUCCCUUCUAGAAUUUUUUGGAUCUUAGAAAGAUCCUCUAAUGGCCUUAAUAGAUCUUGGUGAAGAGAUUUUGACGAUUGACUAUCGGAUAGUUUAUCAAUUUUUACUUUGAUCAGAUC